GUCUACGGCUAUAUCACCCUGAACACCCCCGAUCUUGACUGAUCUCGGAAGCUAAGCAGGAUCAGGCCUGGUCAGUACUUGGAUGGGAGAAAUUUGAUUAAAUU
rnacentral:rRNA from 1 species